rnacentral:rRNA from 1 species
GAUGAACGCUGGCGGCGUGCUUAACACAUGCAAGUCGAACGAGAAUCAACGGAUUGAGGAUUCGUCCAAAUGAAGUUGAGGAAAGUGGCGGACGGGUGAGUAACGCGUGAGGAACCUGCCUCGGAGUGGGGAAUAACAGUUGGAAACAGCUGCUAAUACCGCAUAAUGCAACGGAAUCGCAUGACUCUGUUGCCCAAAGAUUUAUCGCUCUGAGAUGGCCUCGCGUCUGAUUAGCUAGUUGGCGGGGUAACGGCCCACCAAGGCGACGAUCAGUAGCCGGACUGAGAGGUUGGCCGGCCACAUUGGGACUGAGACACGGCCCAG